rnacentral:rRNA from 1 species
AGGGAUCUNUUUGGUUGUGGCNUCGAUGAAGAAUCGCAGCNAAAUGCGAUAAGUCCAAAGGGCAUGCCUGUCCGAGC